GACGAACGCUGGCGGCGUGCUUAACACAUGCAAGUCGAACGGAAAGGCCCUGCUUUUGUGGGGUGCUCGAGUGGCGAACGGGUGAGUAACACGUGAGUAACCUGCCCUUGACUUUGGGAUAACUUCAGGCAACUGGGGCUAAUACCGGAUAGGAGCUCCUGCUGCAUGGUGGGGGUUGGAAAGUUUCGGCGGUUGAGGAUGGACUCGCGGCUUAUCAGCUUGUUGGUGGGGUAGUGGCUUACCAAGGCUUGGACGGGUAGCCGGACUGGGAGGGUGACCGGGCACAUUGGGACUGGGGUGCGGGCCAGGGGCCUACUGGAGGCAGGGGUGGGGACUAGUGCACAAUGGGCGGAAGCCUGAUGCAGCGACGCCGGGUGGGGGAGGACGGCCAGCGGGGUGUAAAGCGCGUUCGCCUGUGACGAGGCGUGAGUGAGGGUAAUGGGUAAAGAAGCACCGGCUAACUACGU
rnacentral:rRNA from 1 species